rnacentral:rRNA from 1 species
UACGAAGGGGGGCUAGCGUUGUUCGGAAUUACUGGGCGUAAAGCGCGCGUAGGCGGCUUUGCAAGCCAGAGGUGAAAUGCCUGAGCUCAACUUAGGAAUUGCCUUUGGGACUGCAAGGCUUCGAGGACUGGAGAGGUGAGUGGAAUUCCCAGUGUAGAGGUGAAAUUCGUAGAUAUUGGGAAGAACACCAGUGGCGAAGGCGGCUCACUGGCCAGUUUCUGACGCUAAAGUGCGAAAGCGUGGGGAUCAAACAGG